rnacentral:rRNA from 1 species
UUUUAACGAGAGUUUGAUCCUGGCUCAGGAUGAACGCUGGCGGCGUGCUUAACACAUGCAAGUCGAGCGAAGCACUUUGCUUUGAUUUCUUCGGGAUGAAGAGCUUAGUGACUGAGCGGCGGACGGGUGAGUAACGCGUGGGUAACCUG